UACGAAGGGGGCUAGCGUUGUUCGGAUUUACUGGGCGUAAAGCGCACGUAGGCGGGUCGUUAAGUCGGGGGUGAAAUCCUGGAGCUCAACUCCAGAACUGCCUUCGAUACUGGCGACCUAGAGUCCGGAAGAGGUGAGUGGAACUCCUAGUGUAGAGGUGGAAUUCGUAGAUAUUAGGAAGAACACCAGUGGCGAAGGCGGCUCACUGGUCCGGUACUGACGCUGAGGGUGCGAAAAGCGUGGGGGAGCAAACAGG
rnacentral:rRNA from 1 species